GAGUUUGAUCCUGGCUCAGGACGAACGCUGGCGGCGUGCUUAACACAUGCAAGUCGAACGGAGCGAAUGAAAGCUUGCUUUUAUGCGCUUAGUGGCAAACGGGUGAGUAACACGUAGGCAACCUGCCGACAGGAUGGGGACAACAUUCCGAAAGGAAUGCUAAUACCGAAUGAAGUGCAGGGGAGGCAUCUCCCCUGCAUGAAAGAUGGCCUCUAUAUAUAAGCUAUCACCUGUCGAUGGGCCUGCGUCUGAUUAGCUGGUUGGUGAGGUAACGGCUCACCAAGGCGACGAUCAGUAGCCGGUCUGAGAGGAUGAACGGCCACAUUGGGACUGAGACACGGCCCAGACUCCUACGGGAGGCAGCAGUGGGGAAUCUUCCGCAAUGGGCGCAAGCCUGACGGAGCAACGCCGCGUGAGUGAAGAAGGUCUUCGGAUCGUAAAGCUCUGUUGAUGGGGACGAACGUACGGGGUGCGAAUAGUGCCUUGUAAUGACGGUACCCAUCGAGGAAGCCACGGCUAACUACGUGCCAGCAGCCGCGGUAAUACGUAGGUGGCGAGCGUUGUCCGGAAUCAUUGGGCGUAAAGGGAGCGCAGGCGGGCAUAUAAGUCUUUCUUAAAAGUUCGGGGCUCAACCCCGUGAUGGGAAAGAAACUAUAUGUCUUGAGUACAGGAGAGGAAAGCGGAAUUCCCAGUGUAGCGGUGAAAUGCGUAGAUAUUGGGAGGAACACCAGUGGCGAAGGCGGCUUUCUGGACUGCAACUGACGCUGAGGCUCGAAAGCCAGGGGAGCGAACGGGAUUAG
rnacentral:rRNA from 1 species